rnacentral:rRNA from 1 species
AUACGGAGGGUGCAAGCGUUGUUCGGAAUCACUGGGCGUAAAGGGCGCGCAGGCUGUUUGGUAAGUCAGAUGUGAAAGCCCACGGCUCAACUGUGGAAGUGCAUUUGAAACUGUCAGACUUGAGUACUAGAGGGGAAAGUGGAAUUCCCGGUGUAGAGGUGAAAUUCGUAGAUAUCGGGAGGAAUACCGGUGGCGAAGGCGACUUUCUGGCUAGAUACUGACGCUGAGGCGCGAAAGCGUGGGGAGCAAACAGGAUUAGAAACCCUAGUAGUCC